rnacentral:rRNA from 1 species
UACGAAGGUCCCGAGCGUUGUUCGGAAUCACUGGGCGUAAAGGGAGCGUAGGCGGCGUGGUAAGUCAGAUGUGAAAUCCCGGGGCUCAACCCCGGAACUGCAUCCGAUACUGCCAUGCUAGAGGAUUGGAGAGGUAGCUGGAAUUCUUGGUGUAGCAGUGAAAUGCGUAGAGAUCAGGAGGAAUACCGAUGGCGAAGGCAGGUCUCUGGGCUGAUACUGACGCUCAUGCACGAAAGCGUGGGGAGCAAACAGG